CUGAAAGCCUUAGUAGCUCAGUUGGUAC
rnacentral:misc_RNA from 1 species